ACGGGGUGCAGCAGGCGCGAAAACUUCACCAUGGGCGAAAGCCCGAUGAGGGAAUUCCUAGUGCUUAGCACAUUUGUGUUAGCUUUUCCUUAGCGUAGAUAACUAGGGGAUAAGGGCUGGGUAAGACGGGUGCCAGCCGCCGCGGUAAUACCCCGCAGCCCGAGUGGUGGUCGAUUUUAUUGAGUCUAAAACGUUCGUAGCCGGUCUGAUAAUCCCUGGGUAAAUCGGGUGGCUUAACCAUCCGAAUUCCGGGGAGAACUGUCAGGCUUGGGAUCGGGAGAGGUAUGAGGUACUUCAGGGGUAGGGGUAAAAUCCUGUAAUCCUUGGAGGACCACCGGUGGCGAAGGCGUCAUACUAGAACGAAUCCGACGGUGAGGGACGAAGCCCUAGGUCGCAAACGGGAUUAGAUACCCCGGUAGUCUAGGGUGUAAACGCUGCAGACUAGGUGUUGGAGGCCCUACGGGGGCACCCAGUGCCCGAGAGAAGUUGUUAAGUCUGCUACUUGGGGAGUACGUCCGCAAGGAUGAAACUUAAAGGAAUUGGCGGGGGAGCAC
rnacentral:rRNA from 1 species